UUCUAGCCCUUGCUGCCAUGGUGGUUUC
rnacentral:sRNA from 1 species